AUGAGACCCCCAGUGGGUGACGAAUUCCAGCAGGCUUUCCCUACCCUGCUGUGGAAAGCAAGGAGUCUUUAGGUUUGUGGGGAUCAACAACCGGAUUUGGCUUAAUGUAGGGGCUCACAGAGACCAUCCAUUUCUGGAGGGAGAGUGAAGGAGGAAGAAGAGGAGGAAGAGAAGGAGGAGGAAGAAGAGGAGGAGGAGUGAGGAGACUCUUGCCCCUAAGUGAGUUGAAAUUUAAGAUGGAGUAUUCCUGCCCAGCUCAGCUGGUCUCACUAUCUGUGGGGCUUGACUCUGGAAAGAAUCCAGGAAGCAGUUCUACUGAUGGCAUGUAGGCGGCUGAGACAAGAUUGAUCACCAUCUCUUUAUUAACAAUCAUUAUGAAGUCACUUGGAAAUGGAGGGAUUUCUUUCUUCAUCUGAAAGUUGCCUUUGGAAUGUUUAAUCAAAUUUCCAGUGUCUUAGUUCAAAUAAACACCUGAUAAUUUUGUUUA